GUUCUUGACGAGAUCGCGCAUAUGCAAUGAGCACUCGGAAUACCACAUGGAUCAAAUCGGAUAAGACAUAUUGAAUAUCACCUUUAAAUGUUAAAAUGUGCAUAUACGUUGGAUUUAUGCCCUGGUUAAGGUUGCAAGCCAUGCACGAGGAGUAAGGUUUGAUUUACGCAUGCGCCAGAAUGCGGCAAAACAGGGACCGCAAUGGAUGAAUCGCGCAUGCGCUUUAUACGCCCACAUAGAGUUUUGACAAAGAGCAAUUACAAACCCUCUGACUGGCAGAAAAUUCUGGAACUUGUACUGAGGUGGAGCUGGUUCUCAAGCAAGCCACAUACUAAUCUUGAGUCUUCACGGGAAUUGCAUGGACUUUCUGGAUCUGCCUAAAUCCUUAUUAUUUAUGGAAUUUAACUAAUAAAAUGUAAUUCUUUGACAGUGCUUUUGGAAUUGGAUUUGGGAUUAAUUGCACAAUGGAAAUACAAAUGCGCAAUUUAGGCCUAUACAGUAUGGUUGCAUGUUAUACAAUAAAUUAAUCCCCUUGGAUACUUGGACACCAAAUGUUCCUUUUUUCUCCGCUCCUAAACAAUUCAAGACGGUGUGGCAAUCUUCUAAGGACAAGAAGACAUUUACUGCUUUACUAAGUUACUAAAAAAAUAUAAUUGUAAUCUAUUUAUUCGGCAGAGGAAACGACGGGUUUGUAAACAAAAACAAGGACAAAAUGUGGAAUGCGUUUGAGAGAAAUGUUUUGUCCAUGUAUGUCUGAGUGCAUGAAAACAUCUUGCAUAGCCUUACUGUGAAGAAUUAAACACCCACAGAUUAAAUACCAGACCAGAGCGAUUUACAAAACAGAUCACACACUCGAUGUUCUUUAUUGUUCAGUUGUUACUUUUUGGCGCCAGAUACCAAAAUAAUGUUUUUUUGAAAUAUGACGCCAUUUUGAGCAUAGCCAAGUGUAGACAAAACCAGCACAACAAAAGAAGUGACAGCGCCGCGGCCAUUUUGUUUCCAGUGGAGUUAUUUUUGGGUUCAAGUUCAGUUUAACUUCUUUAGCGCUUGGGUGCUGCUGCCAAGGGAUUGACGGAACUUAAAUGUUAUAGGGCUCAAAAGAUGUUAAAAGCCACCACGUAAUUGUGUUGUGUAAUAUAAAAGUGUAAUUGCUGCUUUGAA